GGACCUGCCCUCCUGGAAGUAACAGCGGUAGAGGCCGUUCUCCCGGGCCGUGACGUUGCGUAUGACCAGCGCCGCGCUGCCCCUGCUGAGGGCCUUGCGCACGAAGGUGGUUCUUCCGCGAUACUCCUCCAUCUGCUCCUCUGUUCUCUCCCGUCCGCCCUUAUACACCAGCACCGCAGGGGAGAACUGAGACCGGAACCAGCGCACCUCCAUGUCCUCGGCGCUUUUCUCAGGCGACAAGUGGCAGUGUAAAGUGGCGUUUUCUCCCACCAUGGCCAGGAUUGGCUCAGCCGGCCCCACCACGGUAAACUGCGCUGUUCAACAAAGGGGAGAAUCGGAAGAGGACUUUUCUGAUUUGGAUGGAUAGUGCCAUCCAAUACCUAAGAAAUGUUGCUGCGUGUAAAACUGCAGCUGCCCUUCGUGGGUCUCAUUUCUGUUGGCCAGCGCUGGCAUAAAUGCGGAGACCCUGUCAGAAUGAAAGGACCGACCCACACUGCCGCAGGUUUCCCGCCGUCCUUUCUGCAGACUUAAGUGUUCACGUCCUCUUUGAAAAGCUGAGGGAGCAAGGGGCACUCCACCCUACCUGGGACCAGUGCGGACAGGUCGAGGAAGGGGAUGAGGAGGAGCGACGCUGGCAGGCAGAAGGGCAGGCGGGCCGCGUGCUCCAUAGGUACCCAGGACAGGCCGAGGCAGCCAGGACGCGCGGUGACCAGGGGCCUGGGGUUCAGAGGAGCACAAGUCAUACAAGCGUCAUUUGGCCUCCCAGGCUCCCGACUUCCGUCCUGCGCAGACCCCUUCAUCCCGUGGUCCGGGUGUCUCCCGAUGGACUGGUUCAUUCCGCGUCGGCGGAAUAAGCCCGGCAGGCAGUGUUCGGCCCCCUUGGCGCACUUCUCUUUCCAGAGGCCGCCACUUGGGGUGCCACUCGAUACUGCUGCGCUCUCUUCUCCCGGCUCCUCCCUCCGAACCAGGCCCGUCCCGCGCAGAGCCCGCCCGGCGGCCGCGGCUGCCGCGUCCCAGAGCCCGCUGUCCCUCCGCGGCGGACGGUCACCACCGACGCCCCGGCGGACGCUUCCUACCUUUCAGCGGGGAUGCGCGCUUUCUCUUCUCCGACCUCAGAUGACGAUUUUACGGGCGUGCCUCUUCUCUCUAUCCCGCCCCUGGGCACGGCCACCGCCUGAGAACCAGCUGUCCCCAAGGGCGCAGACCGGUUUUCUUUGCCUCCCUUUGACCGUGGGGCGCGGAGAUUCGCGGUCCGGGAUCUGCGACCCCGUCCGCCCCGCGCGCACCCAGACGCAAGAUUUCCGACCGGUGGUUCAGGAUCCAGGAUUGGCCAGCUGGGGGUGUCCCGCCCCUAGUGUCACCAGCUACUAGACGCUCAAGCCCGUCAUUGUAUAGAUAGAGCGAUCGCACCAAGGCCGUGUCCAACGUUCCUCUCAAGCGCUUACCCAGAAGGCCUCCGACUCCCUUCUGAUUCAAUUUAAGCAGUUCAGACGCUUAGUAAUGGCUCCACACUUGCCAUUGGCAUAAGUUCCUCUCCCUCACCUGGUAGGCAGCCAUCCCUUAACCCGAAUUCCCCGCCCCCCCAUUUUCUCUGGACUAGCUUUCAUGUCUACCUCUCCCAAAGGCAGCUUGGGUGUUCUCAGUUGGAAGGGUUCUCACCUCUUCUGACACCAGAGCUUUUGCUAUUCCUAUGUUCUGUCCUGUAGUGACUGGAGGACCUGCUCCUCAGGACAGAUACCUGUGCGACCUGAUUCCUCUCUCCUUACAGUGUCCAGGCCUACGUGCUGCACUGGUCAUCCUACAAUGCAUAAGGAAGAAAGCUAAGUGCAAAGUCAUUUCCCUGACCGCAUGACUCAGUUACUAGACCCAACUGACACCAGAGACCAAGACAGAGAUGACAGCACAACCAGGCCACCGGAGGCCCAGAGUCCUUGAGCAGGGAACAGGAAUCAAGAGUUACCUAGACGUAGCUAGCAGAGCAGCUUCCUUGUCUGCUUUUCAGAUGAGAUCUUUGAUGAGAACAAACUCCAGGCGGCCCGAGGCUGCUUUUUUGUUUUUAGUUUUUAUCUUUGUAGAUGGACAGAAUACUUUUCCCCUGCCCCUGUGGUGCUGCUGAGGAUCAAACCCAGUGCUUUACAUGUGCUAGGCAAGCACUCUGCCCCUGAGCUGCAACUCCAGCCCCUGAGAACUACUUUUUAUAUUAUACUGACCAUCUCUUCCAAAUUCAGCAGAUUCACACAGUGCCUGAUGCUUCUGAUUUGUACUUAGAAACGGACCCUGAGUUCAAUGACCAAUGAAGAAAACACAGAAUUGAACAGUCCCCUCUGUUGCUUCUGGGAAGUAACAGAGGAGGGGGCUGUCGGGCUGUGAGGGCCUGCCAGCCAUAGCUCUCAUCUGAAGAAAUGAGGCCUGGGGCUUGAGGUAGCUUGUGCCUGAAGCAUCUGGGGAACAAGUCGACAACCCCUGCUGCAAGCUGGUGGCCCCUUGACCCUAGAGUCUCUUAGCAGGAAACCAAGGCCUGCUGGGGUUGCUGCCCUGGAUGCUGACACCAGAAUGAUCCAGUCAUUCUUGGGAGGGAUAACCACAGAAGGGUCACCUGCUACAGUUCCCCAUGGAUGUAGUGUACAUGCCAAUCCUUCCUGGAAGAACCAUGACUGAGUGGCCAGGGAGCCUCUUUUGAACUUCAAUAAACUCAUCUUUG